AGAGGAAGCCGGUGCGAAUCCGGCGCGGUCCCGCCACUGUGAAUCCGGCCUCACGACGCCGGAUGAGCCAGGAACUC
rnacentral:ncRNA from 1 species